rnacentral:ncRNA from 2 species
UAAAUAAUGAUGUUUCAUGGUGCUAGGUUGCUGCCGUAAUGGAGCAAUCAGCUUAAAAGGGAAGUCCGGUGAAAAACCGGCGCGCCCCCGCCACUGUAACGAGGAGUGCGAUGUCAGACAUGCCACUGUUCCCUCACAAAAGGGAAUGGGAAGGUGACACAGCACGAUGAAUCGAAGCCAGGAGACCUGCCAUGAAGCCAUGCAUGAU